CUCAGGCAACAUGUGAACAAGCAAACCCCAACCUUUUUAUUGGAGACGUCAUUUCUGCAGCCUUUCAAUCAAUUCAAGGAAAAGUAUUUACAAAUCAAGAUUGGUUAUGUCAACUUCAUCAAAAGCAAACCGAGAAAUGUCAGGCACAUGCGAACUAUGGAGCAAGCAGUCUGUUGCUGUAUCAAAUGUGAGAAUUGGAGCAUUCUGAGAGAAGUCAAUGAAGUUUCAAAACCAACAAAACCAGAACUCAGGAUUGUAUUUUUCGCAAAUGUGACAGCUGUGGACCAACCAAAGUUUUUGUGAUGUUGGCCAUAUUGGGCACGUCUUUCAAUUGCUGCAGUAGUGACUUGCUAGUCGUUACUAAUGCAGUAUAAUCCAUGUCUAGAUGGGAGAGGAACAUUUUGAGAUGGGAAUUUUUGGUGUUUGUGUGUGCUGUUGGUUGUUUUUUUGUUUUGGUUUGUAGUAGGGCUAGUGGGGUUGAAUGGGGAGGGUCAUUUCCUCUUUGUUCUGGAGAAUAUCUCCCACCCUUUGCCUUUGGCUCCUUCCAUUUCCUCUUUCCCUGUUUCAUUUUCAGAUGUUUCUUCAUGUUUUCUUUUUCCUUUUGUUUUUCGAUGGCUGCUUUUUCAAGGAGAAGUUGGCACUCAGCCCUAAUGCGGCCUUUUUAGCUACACUUGUAGCAACGAGGCUUCCUCUCCUCUACCAUGACUCUCAGCUUAGUCUCCGCCACAUGUGUAGAAUCUAUGAUGUUUUCUAAAUCAGAAGAGGCUGCCUGUAUAAUUACCUCGAGCCCUUGCCCCUGCCAAUUUUGCAAUUCCAGUGCUUGGGCUUGGAGGACUGUGAUUUUAUCCUCCAAGCUGUUUAUUAUGGCUGCCACCAGCCAAGCAGGGUCUACUUCAGGUGGGAUAUCUCCUAUCAUAAUCUUGGAAGUCCGCCUUCUAAGAUAAGUAGGUAGGAGUACCACCUCUGCCGUUUUAAUGGUGUUGUUGACGCUUGUUUCGCCUUUUCAUCCAUUUUAAACCAGACUUUUAUUGUGGCAUACUUCACUCCUCUUUUGAUGUAUGCCACAUGUGGUGUUAUGGGCUGUGAUGGAGUUAUGUGGUGUUGGUGGAGGGGAUUGCAGAUGAGGUGGAUGGAAGUAAGGACUGCAGGGGUCUGUGACACAGCCACAGGGCAUGCGUAGGUAGGAAGCACAUGUGGUCAGUUCGAGCAGAGACAGCAGCGAGACAAGAUGUGUUUAAUUCGUGAGAGUGACCGCUGAUUCCGCUGAGGUCAACAGGUAAGGCCUUUAAGUAUUUCUUUCUCCCGUUGCUUCUUUUUCUAUUGUCCUUUUCCUCCAUCACACUACAAGCUAUUUUGGCCCAUAAAAAAAAAACGAAUGACGAGUGUUGUCCGUAUUUCGAACGAUAUGAUCAAAUCAUUUUGCGGUGACACGGAUGUGUUGUCGCUUGGUUGAAGAAGAUGAAGUUGGUGGCGAAGCUCCACGGUAUAAACGACUUAGCGAGUUUUAUACCGCUGUACUUGAAUGGUUCGGCGUUGGUGCUGUACCUAGAAAUGGAAGAGAGGGACCAAUUUAGCGCGGAGAAAAUAGAAAUCCGUUUGAUGGAGGCCUUUGCGGAGGGAAUGUUCGAGGCAUACGCUCACCUGGGGAAAACAAAAUGGACUAGGGAACAGGUUGACGUAUUUGCAAACGAACUCAGAAGAUUGGCUAAACUGGCGGGAUAUGAGGGAGAAUCACUGGACCGAACGGUUAAGUUGGCGUUUGUGACUGGCUUUCUUGACCACAUGUCGGUCGAGUUGCAGAAGCUGCCGAAUAUUAACUCGAUGGCGAUGGCAGACAUUGUAUCUCGGGCUCGCGUGCUAGUUUCAUGCUGCAGAACGACGUCGGUAGCAGCGACUGCAACAACGAAAAGUGGCCGAGCAAGGAGCAGCGGAGAGGGGUCAAAGAAAGAACGUGUGCGAUUAUUCAAAGGACAGUGUUUCCGGUGUCAGGGCCCACACAUGGUACGAGUCACCCAAGCUUGAGGUCAUUUGCUACCGGUGUCGAGAAACAGGGCAUAUUGCCAGCGAAUGUCUGCGGGGAAACGGUCUGAGGGAGACUACUGCGCUGGUAGUUGUCCCUUUGGAUCAAUAGAGGCACGUUUAUUGUCAUUACCUGUGGUCGACAUUCUGGUGGAGGGGAAGAUGUCGCGAGCCCUUGUGGACACGGGCUGUACGGCAACCCUGAUGACUCCAGAAGUGGUAGAGACAUGGAGUGGAGAAAGCAGUGUAAGAGUAGUCGACGGAAGAGAAGUACACUGUGAAGGCAUUACAGAUGGUGCAGGGAACAAAGCUGACGCUGCAAGCAAUUGUAGUUGGCCACUUGGUGGACAAGAUUGACGUGGUGAUGGGGAUGGAUGCAAUCUCCCGUUUAGGAGGUGUCACUGUUAACGAGGCCAGUGUAACGUUCGGGCUUGCAGGGGAACCGUGCAUGGCGAGACCGUGCAUUGGUGAGAACCGUGAAGAAAAGCAUGCUGCACCCACCAUUGAAGACCAGGACUUUCGGGCUGUCUUCGAUGGCCAGAGGUGGACAGUGAAGUGGAAGGGAGAGCCCUGGAUGUUAAAAAAUAAAGUGGGCUGCUAUCAGCUUACUGUAAAAGGAGAUGCCAGAAGUGAGUUCAAGGGGGAGGUGGAGUGGUGGAUUAAGGAGAGCAUAUUAAUCCCUUGGGUAGAAGUAGUAGAGAGCAGAGUCCUGCUGCUGAUGGCGGUGAUACAGCCCACAAAGAAUAAGGUCAGACCAGUGCUUGACUUCCGAGAGCUGAAUGAACAUGUAUCAUGUCAUAUGGGCGGCGAGGCUACAGAUGUCUGUGGAGACACCUUGCGAGAGUGGAGGCAGAUGACAGGGGCCUCCACGGUCGUCGAUUUGAAGUCGGCAUACCUGCAGGUGCAUGUGGCUGAGAGACUGUGGAAGUAUCAGCUUGUCAGGUAUAAGGGCCAGACAUACUGUCUGACCAGGCUGGGGUUCAGGCUAAAUGCAGCUGUUAUUAUUAUUAUUAUUAUAUGGCCAACAUCACAAAAACUAUCUUCAUCGACCCAGAAGGUAGGUUGGUUGUCCUUGAGAUGACACUAAGCAGCAGUAAGGUCUUCAGGCUGGUAGCUGUCUACAUUCCCUUGAGAACUGGGCAGUCUGCUUUUUUUCGAGGCCUGCAGAAGUUUCUUGGGAUGUCUCACACCAUAGUAAUGUUAAGUGACUUUAGUGUAAUCUUUGAUGCAUGCGUAGAUUACGUUAACUCAUCUACUGACAAGAAGGGAAACCCAUGCUUCAGUAAUCUGCUCAGUCAAUAUCAGCUGGCAGAUAGGUACCGACUAGAUGUCCCAUACGAUCCAUUGUAGACAUGGACUAAUAGCGAUGAGUCAUCUAGAUCUUAUUUAGACAGGAUUCUAAUUAGGGAAAUAGACAAAAACCUUGUUAGUCAUCCACAAUUUCACUAUGUCAGCUAUAGUGAUCACAAAUUUGUGACCUGUAGGCUGGACUUAGAUAAGUUAUGUAGACAGAGAUCUGGCUACUAGAAACUCAAUAAGUCACUUUUGUGUCAUGAGGGGUACAGGAGACAGUUAGUGAUGAGGGCAUUGUGUGGUGCUAUUAUUAACAACAAAUGGUGGUAUACCCUCAAAAGAGCCAUAAAAUUUGAGUUUUAGCUGCAAGAAUGGCACUUAACAAUCACCUCAAGAGUAAAAGUGAAGGAUGCGUAGUCAGGGCUAAGCAACAUGCAAUGGGAUGGGAAGGAAUCAAAGUCAUAGAGACCCAACGUGGAAAUAAUCGUACAAUAAGGUCUUUGAUGAAUAAUCAAGGGAACUUGCUAAACAAGCCCGCGGAGAUGUGUAAGGUCUUUCAGGAGCAUUUUGCCUUCCUUUUCAGGAGGGGCAGUGAGCCGGAAUGUAGGAGGGACCUCACAGACUUCCUCGCUGGCAAGCCGCAUCUCUUGGGGUGGGAAGUGGAGUGCUAUGAGGGGCCGAUCACAGCUGUGGAGGUGCAGGAGGCUUUGUCGGAUUGUGGCGGGAACGAGUCGCCAGGACUAGCUGGUCUCCCCUACGAGUUUUAUAACAGUAUGCCAGAGAUGUUUGGGCAUCUACUGGCAUGCAUCUUCACUAACUGGCAACAGAAUGGGUUUAUACCCUGAUCUGUGAGCCGAGGAGUGGUGACGCUGCUUAGAAAGGACUCAAACACGGGGGAUAUUACAGAUAAUUUCAGGCCCAUCACUCUGCUUAACACUGAGUUGAAGAUUUUGACCAAGGUGUUAGCAAAAAGGUUGGUGUGUGUCAUGGGUGGAAUUGUCAGGGAGGUACAAACUUGUGCUGUUCCUGGCAGAUCCAUACACAACAAUCUCCACCUUCUACGUUACACCUUAGAGAGGGUUAAUGGGUCUCCUGGCAAGGGUGGGUGCUGGUCUAUUUAGACCAGUCUAAAACUUUUGACAUGGUUGACUAUUGGUAUCUGGUGUUGGUCCUCACAGUAUUCGGGGUCAGCCCCAUCUUCUUCGUGUGGAUCAUUACUUUAUGCAGCAACAUUCACUCAAUCAUUCACAUGAACGGGUUCUUCUCGAAGCCGUUCAACAUCAAGUACUCUGUUCAUCAAGGGUGUCCUCUCUCCCGUUUUCUGUAUGUAUGGUUCUAGAGCCUUUACUGUGGAAGUUGGUGGGGGCUUGAGGGGCGUCCCACAUGAACUAGGUUGCAGUUGGAAGGUUUGGGCAUACAUGGAUGACAUUCCCAUCAUCGUGUCUGAGAUGGUACACUUACAGAGGGUAGGCAAAGCCGUUAAGGACUACGGGGUGGCGACAGGAGCAAAAGUUAACAGGGCCAAGUCAGUCAGCUUGCAACUCGGCACCUGGAGGAGCAAGACUUCCCAACAACGUCAUAGGGCUUUGGAUGGAGGGGCUGAUUAAAGUGCUAGGGGUCUGGUCCAGACCUCCAGAUAGAGAAAAAUUGGAGUGAGGUGACAAGCAGGUUAACCCACCAAACUCAGAUCUAGUCUGAGUGGCGGCUAAUGUACACUCAACACAAGAAGCCUACUAUCUUCGCCGCCUCCACCAUCAGGUACUUUCUAUGUCAACCGCAUGCACCCUGAUUUUUCUGCCACACACACGAACACACAGACACAAACACGUGUUG